GCUGCUCGAAACUUUGCACACCUCUUCGUGGUGAGCAGCAGGCAACGAUCUUAUGGUCGGCGAAGAUGUGAAG
rnacentral:ribozyme from 1 species